rnacentral:rRNA from 1 species
AUACGGGGGGAGCAAGCGUUGUCCGGAAUCACUGGGCGUAAAGCGAGUGUAGGUUGUCAGGUAAGUAGGAUGUGAAAGCCCGGGGCUCAACCCCGGAAUUGCAUUCUAAACUGCCUGGCUAGAGUCCCGGAGAGGGAGGUGGAAUUCCGAGUGUAGAGGUGAAAUUCGUAGAUAUUCGGAGGAACACCAGAGGCGAAGGCGACCUCCUGGACGGUGACUGACACUGAGACUCGAAAGCGUGGGGAGCAAACAGGAUUAGAAACCCUAGUAGUCC